GGGGUUGUGGCUCAGUGGUAGAGCGCUCACCUAGCAUGGGCUAGGCCCUGGGUUCAAUCCCCAGCACCACA
rnacentral:tRNA from 1 species